rnacentral:rRNA from 1 species
GAUGAACGCUGGCGGCGUGCCUAAUACAUGCAAGUCGAGCGAACAGACGAGGAGCUUGCUCCUCUGACGUUAGCGGAGGACGGGUGAGUAACACGUGUAUAACCUACCUAUAAGACUGGGAUAACUUCGGGAAACCGGAGCUAGUACCGGAUAAUAUAUUGAACCGCAUGGUUCAAUAGUGAAAGACGGUUUUGCUGUCACUUAUAGAUGGAUCCGCGCCGCAUUAGCUAGUUGGUAAGGUAACGGCUUACCAAGGCGACGAUGCGUAGCCGACCUGAGAGGGUGGUCGGCCACACUGGAACUGAGACACGGUCCAGACUCCUACGGGAGGCAGCAGUAGGGAAUCUUCCGCAAUGGGCGAAAGCCUGACGGAGCAACGCCGCGUGAGUGAUGAAGGUCUUCGGAUCGUAAAACUCUGUUAUUAGGGAAGAACAAAUGUGUAAGUAACUAUGCACGUCUUGACGGUACCUAAUCAGAAAGCCACGGCUAACUACGUG